rnacentral:rRNA from 1 species
UAACGAAUAUUGGGCAAUGGGCGCAAGCCUGACCCAGCGACGCCGCGUGCAGGAGGAAGUCCUUCGGGAUGUAAACUGCUGUCAGGGGCUAGCAAGCAAAGGGUGUUAACAGCAUCCGGCGUUGAGCCGCCCCAGAGGAAGCCACGACUAACUCUGUGCCAGCAGUCGCGGUAAGACAGAGGUGGCAAGCGUUGUUCGGAAUCACUGGGCUUAAAGCGCGUGUAGGCGGCUCGGAAAGUGUCGUGUGAAAUCCCAGGGCCCAACCCUGGAACUGCGCGGGUAGGCGGCUCGGAA